AUUGAACGCUGGCGGCAUGCCUUACACAUGCAAGUCGAACGGUAACAGGUCUUCGGAUGCUGACGAGUGGCGAACGGGUGAGUAAUACAUCGGAACGUGCCCGAGAGUGGGGGAUAACGAGGCGAAAGCUUUGCUAAUACCACAUACGAUCUCAGGAUGAAAGCAGGGGACCGCAAGGCCUUGCGCUCACGGAGCGGCCGAUGGCAGAUUAGGUAGCUGGUGGGAUAAAAGCUUACCAAGCCGACGAUCUGUAGCUGGUCUGAGAGGACGACCAGCCAAACGGGGACUGAGACACGGCCCAGACUCCUACGGGAGGCAGCAGUGGGGAAUUUUGGACAAUGGGCGCAAGCCUGAUCCAGCCAUGCCGCGUGCAGGAUGAAGGCCUUCGGGUUAUAAACUGCUUUUGUACGGAACGAAAAGACUCUGGUUAAUACCUGGGGUCCAUGACGGUACCGUAAGAAUAAGCACCGGCUAACUACGUGCCAGCAGCCGCGGUAAAAC
rnacentral:rRNA from 1 species